GAUGAAGAACGCAGUGAAAUGCGAUAAGUAAUGUGAAUUGCAGAAUUCAGUGAAUCAUCGAAUCUUUGAACGCACAUUGCGCCCGCCAGUAUUCUGGCGGGCAUGCCUGUCCGAGCGUCAUUUCAACCCUCGAACCCCUCCGGGGGGUCGGCGUUGGGGAUCGGCCCUUUACGGGGCCGGCCCCGAAAUACAGUGGCGGUCUCGCCGCAGCCUCUCCUGCGCAGUAGUUUGCACACUCGCAUCGGGAGCGCGGCGCGUCCACAGCCGUCAAACACCCCAAACUUCUGAAAUGUUGACCUCGGAUCAGGUAGGAAUACCCGCUGAACUUAAGCAUAUCAAUAAGCGGAGGA
rnacentral:misc_RNA from 1 species